UAGAAGAUAGCCUAGUGAGUGUGAAAGGGGGUGGUUGUUUGGCAGAAGCUUCGAUGACAAAGACUGCUGAUGUUUCAGAAGGAACAGUGGCUAAGGUGAUGCCAACUCAGAAGUAGGAGGGAAAAGCCAUCAGCUAGGGCCAACUUAAGGCGCAUAAUCAUCAACCAUGAUGCAUGUGCAUUGGCUUCAGAUAAAAGACAAUACGGACAACUUCGAAUCCGUUUAAUCUAGAACGGUCUUGUCGAAUUUCGGGAGGGACAAUCGGCCCAUAACCACCUUGAUUGCUAACGUCGCCGACUUCAGACGAACCCUUCUCAACAUGGGGGUCCAAAACUUACCGCUACAACACCAGGAAGACGGAGAGCCAUUUGGGAACCGGGAAGAAUCCACAGCGACGCAUACACUGGAAUUGAGAUGCGGACACUCCAUUAGAACUAAAUCGCAAGCUUUGUAGCUUCAAGUCUGGGGACUGUAUGGCUUUAUAAAUUGAAGGCAGUGCUAGCUGCACCGUGAUGGUUUCUAGGUGCUUGCAAGCGUCUGCUUCAGCUCGACUUGCGUGUCUUUCUUGUAUAUAGCGCAAGCUAGCAGA